AGCGCGAUGACGUCAACCGCGCGGGUGACCACGAGAUAGUCACGAAGAGCGAUACCGUGCCGAUUCUC
rnacentral:sRNA from 1 species